rnacentral:piRNA from 1 species
UAUUGAAUUCAUUUCCUCUGU